UGAUGCUAGGGUCAAAAGGUCUAAGCCCACAUGAGCUUGCUCAUAGGUGGGUGAAAGACCUUUUGACCCGCCCCGAUAUGAGCAUAAAAGUGGGAUGAUAAUCCCACGAUAUGCGAAUAUUGGGUAGGAUUGUGGGAGUGCGUAGCACGGAGCAAUCCGUAGGCAUCA
rnacentral:sRNA from 21 species